CAGGAAGAACGCUAGCCCCAGGCUUCACACACGCAAGUUCGCGGGGAAAACGACAUUCGAAGUCUCGCUUCGAACGGGCGUUCGACCGGCGCACGGGAGAGUCACGCGUCUCCAACCCGCCUCCGACUAAGGGAUAACCCGGCGAAAGUUCGGACUAAUACCUUACGAGGUUUUCUCGCAGACAUCUAAUCGAAAACGAAAGAAUUAUCGGUCAGUCGAUGGGGAUCGCGUCUGAUUAGCUUCGUUGGCGGGGUAACGGCCCACCAAGGCAACGAUCAGUAGGGGUUUCUGAGAGGAAGGUCCCCCACAUUCGGAACUGAGACACGGUCCAAACUCCUACGGGAGGCAGCAGUGAGGAAUAUUGGUCAAUGGACGGAAGUUCUGAACCAGCCCAAGUAGCGUGCAGGAUGACGGCCCUAUGGGUUCGUAAACUGCUUUUGUAUGGGGAUAAAGUUUAGGGACGUGUCCCUAUUUUGCAGGUACCAUACGAAUAAGGACCGGCUAAUUCCGUGCCAGCAGCCGCGGUAAUACGGGGAAGGUCCAGGCGUUUAUCCGGAUUUAUUGGGUUUAAAGGGAGCGUAGGCUGGAGAUUAAGUGUGUUGUGAAAUGUAGACGCUCAACGUCUGAAUUGCAGCGCAUACUGGUUUCCUUGAGUACGCACAACGUUGGCGGAAUUCGUCGUGUAGCGGUGAAAUGCUUAGAUAUGACGAAGAACUCCGAUUGCGAAGGCAGCUGACGGGAGCGCAACUGACGCUUAAGCUCGAAGGUGCGGGUAUCAAACAGGAUUAGAUACCCUGGUAGUCCGCACAGUAAACGAUGGAUGCCCGCUGUUGGUACCUGGUAUCAGCGGCUAAGCGAAAGCAUUAAGCAUCCCACCUGGGGAGUACGCCGGCAACGGUGAAACUCAAAGGAAUUGACGGGGGCCCGCACAAGCGGAGGAACAUGUGGUUUAAUUCGAUGAUACGCGAGGAACCUUACCCGGGCUUGAAUUGCAGAGGAAGGAUUUAGAGAUAAUGACGCCCUUCGGGGUCUCUGUGAAGGUGCUGCAUGGUUGUCGUCAGCUCGUGCCGUGAGGUGUCGGCUUAAGUGCCAUAACGAGCGCAACCCCUCUCUUCAGUUGCCAUCAGGUAAUGCUGGGCACUCUGGAGACACUGCCACCGUAAGGUGUGAGGAAGGUGGGGAUGACGUCAAAUCAGCACGGCCCUUACGUCCGGGGCUACACACGUGUUACAAUGGCCGGUACAGAGGGAUGGUGUAAUGCAAAUUGCAUCCAAUCUUAAAAGCCGGUCCCAGUUCGGACUGGGGUCUGCAACCCGACCCCACGAAGCUGGAUUCGCUAGUAAUCGCGCAUCAGCCAUGGCGCGGUGAAUACGUUCCCGGGCCUUGUACACACCGCCCGUC
rnacentral:rRNA from 1 species